rnacentral:rRNA from 1 species
UACGGGGGGAGCAAGCGUUGUUCGGAUUUACUGGGCGUAAAGGGCGCGUAGGCGGUCAGCACAAGUCAGUUGUGAAAUCUCCGAGCUUAACUCGGAAAGGUCAACUGAUACUGUGCGACUAGAGUGCGGAAGGGGCAACUGGAAUUCUUGGUGUAGCGGUGAAAUGCGUAGAUAUCAAGAGGAACACCUGCGGCGAAGGCGGGUCUCUGGGCAGUAACUGACGCUGAGGAGCGAAAGCGUGGGGAGCGAACAGG